rnacentral:rRNA from 1 species
GUGGAUUAGAUACCCGGGUAGUCCUGGCCCUAAACGGUGCGCGUUUGCUGUGAGUGGAAUCGACCCCGCUCGUGGCGAAGUUAACACGUUAAACGCGCCGCCUGGGAAGUACGGCCGCAAGGUUAAAACUCAAAGAAAUUGACGGGGGCCUGCACAAGCGGUGGAGUAUGUGGCUUAAUUCGAUGCAACGCGAAGAACCUUACCUGGCCUUGACAUGCAAGUAGUAGAAGGAUGAAAGUCUAACGAGGUAGCAAUACCAGCUUGCACAGGUGCUGCACGGUCGUCGUCAACU